CCCUUAGAUGUCCUGGGCUGCACGCGCGCUACACUGGAAGUUACGGAUUGAGAUACUACCUUGUCCGAAAUGGUCCGGGUAAUCACCUAAAAGCUUGUCAUAAUUGGAAUGGAUUAUUGUAACUAGUAAUCCUGAACGAGGAAUUCCUAGUAAGUCCCAGUCAACAGCUGGUACUGAUUACGUCCCUGCCCUUUGUACACACCGCCCGUCGCUACUACUGAUUGGACGUUUAAGCAAGAUUUUUAAACACUGACAGUGUGUAGUUCACGCUAUACUACAGUGAGAAGAUGAAGAUCGAGCUUACUUGUCUAGAGGAAGUAAAAGUCGUAACA
rnacentral:rRNA from 1 species